rnacentral:rRNA from 1 species
UUACCCGCUGAACUUAAGCAUAUCAAUAAGCGGAGGAAAAGAAACCAACAGGGAUUGCCCUAGUAACGGCGAGUGAAGCGGCAACAGCUCAAAUUUGAAAUCUGGCCUCGGCCCGAGUUGUAAUUUGCAGAGGAUGCUUCUGGCGCGGUGCCUUCCGAGUUCCCUGGAACGGGACGCCACAGAGGGUGAGAGCCCCGUAUGGUCGGACACCAAGCCUGUGUGAAGCUCCUUCGACGAGUCGAGUAGUUUGGGAAUGCUGCUCUAAAUGGGAGGUAAAUCUCUUCUAAAGCUAAAUACCGGCCAGAGACCGAUAGCGCACAAGUAGAGUGAUCGAAAGAUGAAAAGCACCUUGAAAAGGGGGUUAAAUAGUACGUGAAAUUGUUGAAAGGGAAGCACUUGUGACCAGACUUGGGCCGGGCGGCUCAUCAGGGGUUCUCCCCUGUGCACUCCGCCCGGCACAGGCCAGCAUCAGUUCUCGUGGGGGGAUAAGACCGUCAGGAACGUAGCACCCUCCGGGGUGUGUUAUA